GACGAACGCUGGCGGCGUGCCUAAUACAUGCAAGUCGAACGCUGAAGGAGGAGCUUGCUCUUCUGGAUGAGUUGCGAACGGGUGAGUAACGCGUAGGUAACCUGCCUGGUAGCGGGGGAUAACUAUUGGAAACGAUAGCUAAUACCGCAUAACAGUAGAUGUUGCAUGACAUUUGCUUAAAAGGUGCAAUUGCACCACUACCAGAUGGACCUGCGUUGUAUUAGCUAGUUGGUGGGGUAACGGCUCACCAAGGCGACGAUACAUAGCCGACCUGAGAGGGGGAUCGGCCACACUGGGACUGAGACACGGCCCAGACUCCUACGGGAGGCAGCAGUAGGGAAUCUUCGGCAAUGGACGGAAGUCUGACCGAGCAACGCCGCGUGAGUGAAGAAGGUUUUCGGAUCGUAAAGCUCUGUUGUAAGAGAAGAACGAGUGUGAGAGUGGAAAGUUCACACUGUGACGGUAUCUUACCAGAAAGGGACGGCGAACUACGG
rnacentral:rRNA from 1 species